AGAGUAAUUGUAACACAGAAUUCAGUGAAUUGCAGUGGUUGAAUCUGAACAUAAUGAAACAUUGUAUUUUUUUGACAUAUUUUUGGAACAGCCUCCAUUUCAGUGGGAGUUGUGAGAGUGCGAGCCAGGGAGCAGCUGAGAACAUAAGUUUGAAUGUGAAAUACUUACCUCGUGAAUCUGUGGACCGAAGGCUGAACAGGAGUGGAAGCAGACAGGGACUGCUGGAUACUGAUUAUAUUGGCAAUAACUUCAUCCUUUUAUAAAGUUGGACUUCUGCCCGCUGACAGGGUCAACAUCGUAGGUAAAAACAAUGACUGCAGAUGCUGGAAA